CAGAAAUCAGGUUUGCUCGUCCACUUAAGGACAGUCCACGAAGGUCGUAAAGAUUAUGAAUGCCAUGAGUGCGAAAAAAAAUUUACGCAAAAAGUGUAUUUGCUCAAACAUCAAAGAAGAGUUCAUUAAGGUCGUAAUAAUAUAUUUCGUAACAAGUGCGCGAAGCAGUUACAAACCCCAUGUUUCGCGUGCUCGAAUAAAGGGUGAUUGACAUAUACAUAGAUACUGGUUGAAUAUGCAUAGAUACUGGUACACUAGCCGGUAAAAAUAUCUUUCCAGACUGAAGGUUGCUGCGUCAAAAAAUUCGGAGUCAAUCUAUGUAAUCGAAAAAGUUCAGGGUUAUAGACGAACAAACCUUAAGUCGCGGAGCAGACGUCAUUAGACACGUGCGCGCUGAAGGCUUGAAGCUGGAGACUAAUUAAUUAAUAAUUAAGAAAGAGUCUAUUCUACGGGAAAUAUCACCGAGUUGCAGCCCGUCGUUAUCGUGUAUAUGUUGAUAAUAAAAAUUAUCAAGAAAAUCUACUUGAUCCUAUCGAACACCAAUACUCUAGCACUAUUCGUAGCCAGAUUCAUAGAUGGUUCUUCACACAGACUUGGAGAGACAGCGUCGUGCCACGACCAAUUCAGCCCAUAAGAACUGAUGAUGAUUAAAGCGGUGGCCAAGUUCGACUUUGCACCACUGUUGCCAGCAAAACCUACUAAAUCUGCAAGUUGGAUCUUCAAAACACUCGUCAUAUCCUUUAGAAACAAAAUCAGCAGAAGAGGCACAAAAACUUGCAGCUCAAGCAGUUUUAAAUGCAGUACUGAAUAAAGAUGAUGAUCCCCUUGUGGUUAAGUUUAAGUGAAGAAUAUUAUCAAAAAUACUAUGAAACACUUCCAACCAAUUGGGUCAAGUUAGUUGAGCAAGCUGUUGCCGUUGAUGUUGGAGCCAACAAUAUGAUCAUACUCAGU